AUGCCUUUUUUCCACACUAUCUAUUGCAUCUGUCUCUCAUACAAUGUCUGUACAUUCAACUAUGUUUCCUGUUAUCAGCCAUUUGAAUUGGAGCGGGUGAUGGCAAUAUCCAGCGGACUAAAAACACGGUCUUCAAAUAAAACAGUGCUACCUCUUGGUGGAGAUAGCACCUCGGUUGUACAUGCACAAGAACCAGCCCUACCACACAUAACCCAAACUCUCGCAGAUUGUACCCCUACUGAUUUGGACAAAGAACCAGCUUCACCCAAUCUAACCCCAACCCCAGCAGAUAGUAACCCAGUUCCUGUUGACACAGCAUCAUCUCCACCACAGAGCUCCCAAACAAGAGCAGUUAGUAAGGCAGCUCCAGUGCCCAAAGGGCCAGUACUACCACGGCGAACCCCAACUCCACCAGUUUGUACGCCUAUUCCUGUGGAGGAAGCACAACCAGCUAGUAGUAGUUUAGCAGCUAUCACAUUUGAUGUUGUUAAAUCGUAUGUGCGUAUCUUCCCAUCUUGGAAAUAUUAUACUGAAGAUGAAGAAAAAUGCCAGUUGCAGGUGUUUGUCCAGAAGUUAUGUGUAAGUAAUAUUAUUCAUGGCAAUUACUUUGUUUUGUCCCAUACAUCCUACCUCCAUGAUGGUUAA
rnacentral:rRNA from 1 species